GACGGGUGAGUACACGUGGGCAAUCUGCCCUGCACUCUGGGACAAGCCUUGGAAACGAGGUCUAAUACCGGAUACGACCCUUGACCGCAUGGUCUUGGGUGGAAAGCUCCGGCGGUGCAGGAUGAGCCCGCGGCCUAUCAGCUUGUUGGUGGGGUGAUGGCCUACCAAGGCGACGACGGGUAGCCGGCCUGAGAGGGCGACCGGCCACACUGGGACUGAGACACGGCCCAGACUCCUACGGGAGGCAGCAGUGGGGAAUAUUGCACAAUGGGCGCAAGCCUGAUGCAGCGACGCCGCGUGAGGGAUGAAGGCCUUCGGGUUGUAAACCUCUUUCAGCAGGGAAGAAGCGCAAGUGACGGUACCUGCAGAAGAAGCACCGGCUAACUACGUGCCAGCAGCCGCGGUAAUACGUAGGGUGCGAGCGUUGUCCGGAAUUAUUGGGCGUAAAGAGCUCGUAGGCGGCUUGUCGCGUCGGAUGUGAAAGCCCGGGGCUUAACCCCGGGUCUGCAUUCGAUACGGGCAGGCUGGAGUGUGGUAGGGGAGAUCGGAAUUCCUGGUGUAGCGGUGAAAUGCGCAGAUAUCAGGGGGAACACCGGUGGCGAAGGCGGAUCUCUGGGCCAUUACUGACGCUGAGGAGCGAAAGCGUGGGGAGCGAACAGGAUUAGAUACCCUGGUAGUCCACGCCGUAAACGUUGGGCACUAGGUGUGGGUCACAUUCCACGUGGUCCGCGCCGCAGCUAACGCAUUAAGUGCCCCGCCUGGGGAGUACGGCCGCAAGGCUAAAACUCAAAGGAAUUGACGGGGGCC
rnacentral:rRNA from 1 species